rnacentral:lncRNA from 1 species
UCCAUGUGAUAUAUAAAUUACGAGUUCAAAAUAUGAAAUCAGUCAUUAAUAUUUCUAUCAAAAUAUACUGGCUAAAUUACACCUUUCAUGAUAUGGUAUUUCUCCAAAUCUUAUUUAAACUAAUGUUUCGUGCACUUUUUGACUAUUAUUUUAUUGAGAAUUACAGUAGCUGAUAAUGUGACAUGUGGCCCCAUUUGUCCAAACAUGAGGACAGCGUGACGGCGACAAUCUUCCAACUUCGCCGGCGAUUCUUCUCUCUUAUGUUAUCACUUGUUCAACUCAACUUUCUACCUGUCUUCUCAACGUGGCCAUGUCCUUCCCAGCUGUUUUCUCUUUCUGUUGGGCCCCACACGGUUUCUCACCCCCCUAUAUAAACCCCUUAAAUUUACUUCUCCUCCCUUCAUUCUGCCCUCAGUUAACUAAAUUAUCUCUCUGAUUAACAGUACUUUCUGAUUUUCUGUGAUUUCUACAAAUCUGAGACAUGGCAGCAUUGAAGACUAUGACGGUGUUUUUAGCUAUUGUGGCUGUAUUAUCGGCGGUUGCUUCUGCUCAAGAAGUGACCUCGGCUCCGGCACCAUCACCGGAUCAAGGCGGCGCGUUUUCACUAUCGGCUUUUGGGGCGAUUAUCUGCUCCUCACUGAUUUUGUCUGUUGUCACUCUACUCAGGAACUAGACGAUCGAUAGAUCCUUCCUCAUCGAUUUGAUGAUUAUUCAUUGAGUUGUUUUACCGUCCGGUAUUUAUGUAGAUAAUACACAUUGUAUAUUUAUGCAUUUUGGGUUUAUAUGUUUGAGUGUUUGUUUUGUAUUAGUAGGGAUUAUUGUACUUGUUUUUGUAUAAUUAUUGGUUUGACUAUAUAAUAAAGACAGUUUUUGUUUUGUAUUUAGAUGCAGUGUUUCCUAACAAGGUUAUGACUUGUGAGUAGGGCUGCGUAUCGACCAUUAUUUAUUUUUAACGAUUUAUCUUAUUGAUUAUGGACUUUUAAAUAUAUUAAUCUCUUACUCAUCCGAUAAGAUAUCGGAUGAAUUGAUAUCGGUUUAGCUCUUAUCGGACGAUUUAAAAUCUAUUUUUCUAGCAUUUCUUAGAUACAAAGUUAUUAAUACUUUUUUAUAAUC